ACGGGUGGCCACUGAGUCCUCUGCCCGCUGUCCCCAGGCUCUGGAUGAUGGGGAGCUGGCAUCAGGGAGCCCCCGGUUUUACUCAGUGACUGGCUGGCUGGUACCAGGGUGGGCUUCUCAGACCACACACCUGAGCCUACCGUGUGCAUGUGUGUAUGUGUGCAUGGGCAUGUGCAUGCAUGUGCAUGGGCGGGGUGGAGAUAGGUGUCGGGGGAGGCAGGCAGCAGCCCCCCUCCCUGCCUGCAGCCUCUCCACCCAAGGGGCAGGCAGACAUCAGGGAGGGGGCCCCACCCUGGAUGCCAGGGCCGAGCAGAGGGUUUCAGGACUAAAUCCGGCGGCUGGGAGAGGGCAUCAGCGUCCCGCCUGCACCGCGGUGACUCAGAGUGAGAUCCUGGCAGUUGUGAACCGGCUCAGGGCUGCGCCCUCACAGGGCACUCCGGGUGGGGGAGGGGAAGAGGGCCGCUUUCAAGGAAAGCGAGACUCCCACGGCCAGGCCACCAUCGUCGCAGGGGAAGACAGACAGGUCAGAGACCUGGCCGACAAGGGAAGUCCCUCCGUUUGGAAAGGAAGUCACAGCUCCCUUCGUACUGACUGCUCUGCCCAUACAAGCGGCUCAAGUGGACCUGCCAUGCGUUUUCAGUGACUUCACAGAAAGCCGCUGUGCAAGGGGUGGAGGUGGUAGUCACGGACACUGCAGGGAUGGUAAGCACGAAACAAGCCUGUCGGAGGUGCGGGAGGCCCAUGGGCCCCGGGUGCCAAGAGCAGGUGAUGCAGAGACUCUAGACCCCGUGUGACGGCAGCUGGCAGAGACCCUCAAUGACAGAUGUAAGUAACUUCUCAUUUGUCUAAGAGCAGACCUGCCAUUUUAAGGAGACUGUCUUUCAAGCAUCCGUGACUUCGAAGGGAUGACAGAACCGCCAGCUCACCGCACAGGUGUCUGUGCAACGCCCGGCCCAGGGUCACAGCCCGACAGCGGUUUCCUUUACUGUUCUGCCCUGUGCUGCACGCUCCCGUCACAGGGCCGCAACUGCAGAGACUUCUUCGGGUACAGAAUUAGGUAGGAAGACUUUGGGGGUGGUGGUAAACUUUUUAGAUUUUUGCUUUUUCAACUUCUCUCGUCUGAAUGGGGAACAUCAGCAAAAUCAAAGUGAAACUGACAGAAAGCAGGUCGGAGGUGGCUCCCAUCAACUCCAAAGGCAGGGAGGCUUCCUCCUGCUGCCCUUCAACGACUAAUUCACCGAAAGAGAGUGAAGCGACAAGGACAAAGUUAACGUAAGAUGAGCACAAGCAUUUGAACGCCAUCACGCAGACCGUCUGAGCCGGACACAGAAGCUUCAGGCUUUUUAACACCGCCUCAGUCAGGAUUCCGGUGAUGUCUUGACUCUUGGGAAUAUUGAAUUGUUCAACUUCAACAGAGGUAAAGAGGUAGGACAACCACACAAAUAACAUCACUCAAACUCUAUUUUCUUCAAGAAACAGAAAAGGAAUCAUUUGGUGCCAUGCUUUUAUUCAUGAAAGGGGAACCACCACACGGUACCAGGAAAUAGCAAAUCUGACGGUAUUUUACAGCAUAGCAUCUUAAAAAACCGGUAAGCAAUGCUCUGGAGUGGCCGGUAAGCAAACCAUACGCUGGACAUCGCCCAGAGUGUCCAUGAAACCACACUGAAAAAGCUGGAUCUGGCUUGAAACAGCCAAAUAAAAACUGUAACAGUCAUUCUCGAACAAAACUGAAAAGCCGAGAGGAAGGAAAAGCUUUCCAAAGCUGCAUCAGACAGCAAACUCUGACGGGCCGCACUGGUGACCAGGACAGAUAUUUGGCAAACAAACGGAAAAAAUGACCCCUAAUACUCUGACCUCCAGGGAUGAGAAGCACCAGUGUGUUUCAGGAAGGUGGAUGAAAAAAGCUCCAGACUUCAUGAAAGAGCAUAAUUUUCAUUUACAUAAUUUCCCAAACAUAAUUUUUUUAAAAAAAAUCUGCAGACUUCAAGAAAUACAUCCCUAGUCCUUCUGCAGGAAUAAAGCAAAAUAUUAUACCGACAGCCUUGAACUAUUGUGGCAAUAGUCACAGUCCACCUUUAGACAUUUAAGGACGUUCGCCUUUGGACACACGUGACUUGAGGAACAAGGGGGGGGGGGUCCUGUCUGGUUUUACUCGGUUCCUCUGUUGUCUUGCAUCCAAUUAAAAAAAAAAAAAAAGUAAUGGCCAGGAAACCGCAAAGAAGAGUGCUUUGGGGGGGGGAAGACUUGAUGGGUUGAAAAGAACAAACUGAGGAACGUCCACUGCUUGUUAAUUCUGAUUGUUAGUUACCACGUUUGGAUUAGAGUCACGUACGGUUCUUCGUCGGGCAAGCGAAGCCUGUGUUCCAUCACCAUUUCCUCCAACCGUGACAGCGACGGUGGCCCGAAAGGCGAGACGCGCGCGCACCGCCCAGGUGGGGUCUUUAGAUUCUAUACACAGUGUGGAUACACUUAAAAUAGGAGAGUUACACAUCCUGAUCUCUUACAUGCAAACAGUAGGAUCACAAAUCAUUUGGAGCUACACAUGUAUCUUGCACAGGUACUGGAGAAAAAUCUGUAAAAAAAAAAAAAUUUUUUUUUACAGUUUUAACAAAUAUACAUAAAUAUAAGAACAUAAAUUACAGUAAAAUAUUGACAGCAUUUGAGAGAAGGUGGGUAACCCAGACACACUGAUGCCUAAAAGGCCUUUUAAUGACAGAAAAGUACAGCGGAGGGACAUCUCAUUCCUACUUUUUUUUU